UUUCUGCUCAUUCGCAUCGCUGCCGUUCCGUCCGCCUGUCGUUUACCUGAAACUCUGUGUCGUUGUGGCGUAUUUUCGUGGUCGUUCAGUGUUUCAGUGAAUUCUGUGUUUAUUGCGUGCAGCCUCCGAGAGCGAGGGCCGAACAUGACGCACAACAACUCGUGAGGAGUCCACCGAAAUGUCGAUUACGGGCGCGAUCCGUUCGUGAAAGUUUCCUGGCGUUGUGCAGAUCGUUCGCCGCGACCAAUGGUGUGUUGUGAAAGAAGAGUCGAUGUGAAGUCAAUGGUAAUUGUGUGGCGCGUUGUGCUUGCGAAUUGUGCGAACGAAUAUUGUGACGAGCAGUGAAAAGGAGCAGCCCAGAUGGCGGUGUGGAAGGACGUAGGCGAGCCGUAUCUGUACGGAAUCGCUAAAAAUAACUUCUAUCAAGAGGACAAACCACAUCGAUUGUGUCUGGAUGUUGGCGAUGCAGUGAUUAUAAUCAAAGAGACUGAUGAGUGGUAUUUUGGGUACAACAAAAGAGACAAAAAUCAGCUUGGCAUCUUCCCGAAGUCAUAUGUUCAACUAAUUGAAGCCGUUAAUGUUAAAGAUGAAUACGUUAUCAAACGAACAGAAAUCGUCGAUGAAAUAACGACCGUACUUAAAGAAUGGGGUACAAUCUUCAAGAAUUUCUAUCUGAGCAAUAAUCAGAAAUUUCAACCGAUAAGACAGAAAAUGUUGGAGUUAAUUCGUUUAAGAUCACAGAUGCUGUCUGGUAAUCUACCAGUUGAUGAGAUGCGUGAAGUGAAAUUACAAGCAACAGCUGAAGUUGAUACAGGGAAUAGUAUAUUGGGUCUUGACAUGGUAGUCCGGGACGAUACUGGAAAUGUACUGGAUAUUAAUUCGACUUGUACGACUGAACUGUACGAACAUCAUGUCCAUGCCGUCGAUAGGAUACGCAGGGCAACGAAUACAUAUCACAAAAAUCGAAUAUCGAAAACAAUGAACAAACAUUCACAUAGCGUUCUGCUUGCCGUCCAUGCAUUUGUGUGUAAAUUUCAAGAAGACUCCGACCUUCUAUUCACACUCUACGAUGGAGACGAACAUAAAGCGAUUACAGAAAACUACGUUGUCAAGUGGGGUCGACAAGGCAUCGCUCGAGAUCUAGAUCAAUUCGAUAAUACUCGUGUCCUUUUCACAGAUUUAGGAAGCAAUGACUUGAAUAGAAAUAAAAUCUAUUUAAUAUGCUACGCGAUACGAAUAGGGUCGAUGGAAAUGAAGGAGUCGGAGUCGAAACGUGCAAGUAUGGCGAACGCGGUUCUGAAUACUGGACAGAAAAAACUAUCGCAGCUGUCCAUGAAUUCAAUGGGAUCAUAUAAUUUGACCGAACAAAUGCGUCGACCGUUUGGAGUGGCGGCAAUUGAUUUAACGCCAAUCAUCAAGAAACCAGAGGAUUUCAAAAAUAAUCUGGAUUUACCUUUUAUUCUAUGUGAAAAGGAGAAUUUAGACAGUACACUUAAGAAGUUAAUACUUAAUAAGGAUAUUGGAAAGAUAGAUUCGAAACUAGCAGUUAGUGUUGAGGUGUUGCAUGGUGAUAUUAAACAGAUCAAAGAGGAAUAUCCACAUUUGGUGCAUGGAAAUGUUCCAUUUGCGCGUAAAAUGGGUUUCCCCGAAGUGAUAUUUCCAGGUGAUGUCCGCAACGAUCUAUAUUUAACUCUUGCAAGCGGUGAGUUCUCAAAAGGGACUCGUGGUGGCGAGAAAAAUAUUGAAGUGUCCGUUGUUGUUUGCAACGAAACUGGUCAAGUUGUUCCUGGUGUAAUUACACUUGGAGCUGGGGCACAGAUGUUAAAUGAAUACAAAUCCGUUGUUUAUUAUCACGAAGACAAACCGAAAUGGAAUGAGACAUUCAAAAUACAAGUGCCAAUUGAAGAAUUCAAACAGUGCCAUCUAAGAUUCACUUUCAAACAUCGCAGUUCAAAUGAACAAAAGGAUCGUACGGAAAAGCCUUUUGCUCUCUCCUAUGUGAAAUUGAUGCAAACAAAUGGUACAACAUUACAACACAAAGCCCACCAGCUACUCGUGUACAAAAUUGAUCAUAAAAAAUACGAAAAGGAAAGUGAAUUCAACUAUUUGAGUUUACCAUCCCAACCAGGAGAAUUGACUGGAAAUACAAAGCCAUCGGUUGCUGGAUUUACUCUCGCUCCAAAGGACCUAUUCACGAUAGAGACGAAUUUAUGCAGCACAAAAUUAACACAAAAUGUCGAUUUAUUGGGACUAUUGAAUUGGUCCGCACAUACGGAAACACUUGAAAUGUCAUUAGAAGCCUUGAUGAACGUUGAUGCUGGGGAAAUAGUUAAAUUUUUGCAGGAUAUACUUGAUGCAUUGUUUAAUAUUUUGGCCGAUGAUGAUACCCCAGAUAAAUACGACUACUUAGUAUUCAACUGCCUAAUUCGACUUAUCGAAAUUCUAUCAGACUUGAAAUAUCAACACUUUCAAUCAGUAUUGGACUUAUACAUAAACGAAAGCUUUUCAGCGACAUUAGCAUACUCUAAAUUAUUGAACGUACUUCAAAACCACAUCAAAAACGCAACCCGAAUAGAAGUCAAUCAUGACUGUAUCUCUCUGCAUACGGAUACCGAUCGAUACUCUGAAGAGUCAUUGUACAAAACAACCAAAAAUCUUCAAUACAUCAUUAAAUUCAUCAUACAAUCGCGAAUAUUAUUUUCAAAGUUGAAUAAUGACAAGGAUCGAGAUAAAUUUGAGUAUAGGCUUGAAGAGCUCCUUUCUCUAUUCACUGAACUUGUCGAGAGCUCCAACGAAAGAUUGAGAUCCCAAGGAGCAAUUUUGAAGUAUUUACAUGUGAUAGCGACUGAUUUGAUGCAAGUUUAUGAUCCAGUUAAGUUGAGUCAUAGCAUUGUGGAUAUUUUAACGCAUGUACCCUCGGGACGAUUGACUCAAUCACGAAUGACCUGCAUCAAGGAUUUAGUUGAUUCGAAACUGUUUCGAUUGCCAUCUUGUCGAGCGGUCCUUCUUCCUGUUUUCUGUAAGCAAAUUAAAGAUAAAUUGGAAAGCAAAGAAGAGGGUGACGUAAAAUCAGGUAUUUGGCAACAUGAAAAGAAUCUAACGAAGGCAGCUAAGGUUUUGGGUGAAUCAAAAUCCCACCUACACACGCGUGAAACAACAGCAAAAUCAAAGAUCUCUGAAUGCGUAAAUAUCAUGAGCAACAUACUAAAACUCCUCUUCCAAGAGGACAUUGGUCCCACCGACAGUGAUGUUCGUGACAUCAUGUUAAUUCUCCUUCGGACUGUAAUUCAAACUUCAAUUGCUAUGGAUCGUGACAACCCUCACGUGGGACACUUGGUGGCGAUCAUGCUUGGCAUUAUACGCAGCAUGAAGACAAUCCACUACGAUAUUUACGUGAAACAUUUCAACACUCGUUACGAUCUUCAAGAUUUUCUCACUGAAAUCCUGCUUGUGUACAAAGAUCUAGUUUCAAAGCCAGUUUUUCCAACCGAUUGGAUGGACAUGAUUAUGCAUCAGAAUACUGUGAUACUGGAAAGUUUAAGGCAAUUUUCCAUUAUAAUCAUUGAUUACUUCUUUUGUCCGUUCGAGAAGCAAGUUUGGUCGAACUUCUUUCAGUGUUCGAUUGCGUUCCUGAUACAGACGCCUUUGCAAUUGGAUCAAUUCAGUAGAAGUAAGCAGUCGGCGAUUCUAUCAAGGUACAAGGAUAUAAGACAUGAAACGGCCACUGAAAUCAGGAAAAUGUGGUUCCAGUUGGGAGAGCAUAAAGUGCAGUUCGUGCCUCAACUGGUGGAGCCUAUUUUAGAAAUGAGCAUGAUCCCUGAAGUCGAGCUCAGAAGGGCAACAAUUCCGAUAUUUUUUGACAUGAUGCAGUGCGAAUACUACAGUUCACGAUAUAUUGUUGAUAGCUAUGGAGAUACGAAAAGAAACGCUUCACAUUGUAAGGCGAAUUUCAAUGAGUUUGAGACAGAGAUGAUUGAAAAACUGGAUGUAUUGGUGGAAGGUGGACGCGGUGAUCAUGAGUAUAAAGUCCUUUUUGAAGAGAUAAUGAUGGAGAACUGUGAGGGUCACAAUACACUUAAUGUGGAUGGUAUACGAUUUGUGCGAAUUGUUACCGAACUCAUGGAGAAGCUGCUGGAGUAUCGUUUGAUCAUAAUGAAUGAUGAAAGCAAGGAGAACCGGAUGGCGUGUACUGUCAGCCUUUUGCAGUUUUAUGAUUCCGUGAAUAGAAAGGAAAUGUACAUUCGUUACGUAUACAAACUCUUCGACCUUCAUAUGGAAUUCGACAACUAUAUCGAAGCUGCAUUUACUUUGAAGUUACACAGUGAUCUCUUGUUCUGGGAUGAAACCGAAUUGUCUCCAUUGUUACGAUCUCAUCGACAUCCAAGCUGCCGAUCACACCGACAACUGAAGGAGGCACUUUACAAUGAAAUCAUUGAAUAUUUCGACAAAGGCAAGAUGUGGGAAUGUGCAAUUGAAAUGUGCAAGGAGCUCGCAAUGCAAUACGAAAAUGAAGUUUUUGAUUACCUUAGCCUGAGUACAAUCCAUACAAAGAUGGCGUUAUUCUAUGAGAAGAUUCUAAAAGAGAUGCGUCAUGAAUCGGAGUAUUUCCGGGUGGCAUUCUUUGGUCUUCGAUUUCCUGAUUUCUUGAGGAAUAAGGUAUUCAUCUAUCGUGGCAAGGAGUAUGAAAGACUGAGCGAUUUCUGUGCACGAAUUUUAACUCAACAUCCUGCUGCGGAGUUGAUGCAAACAUUGACAACACCUGGGUCAGAAAUUACACAGUCCGAUGGACAGUAUAUUCAAAUUAACAGUGUGGAGCCAAUAAUGGAUGAUCAGCACAGCAAGCUGAAGAAUAAGAUCAUUGCGAGGGACAUUAUCAAGUACUAUCAAACGAAUAAUGUCCAGAAAUUCAAGUUUUCACGACCGUUUAAGGAUAAUAAUGAUGGAGACGGAAAUCAAGUGAGCAAUUUGUGGUUGGAGAGGACAGUGAUGAUCACAAAAUAUCCACUGCCUGGAAUCUUGAGAUGGUUCCCGGUCAUCGAGUCGGAGACUUACAAGAUUUCACCAAUCGAAUAUGCUGUUGAGACAAUGGAACUCACAAAUAACAUGAUUCGUGACCUAAUCAUCGCACAUAAGAGUGAUGAGAAUUUACCAAUUAAUCCGAUGAGUAUGAAAAUCAAUGGAAUCGUUGAUCCGGCUGUGAUGGGCGGUUUUAGUAAGUACGAAGAAGCAUUCCUGACCCCUGAGUAUUUGGAAGCUAAUCCCGAAAAUGCCAUAAUAGUUGAAAAGUUGAAGAACUUAAUUGCAUCACAAAUUCCACUGUUGGAGAUAGCUCUUGCUGUACACAAGGUGAAAAUACCACCGAGCCUUUCACUUUUCCAUGAGCAUCUGGAAAAGUGUUUCGGGGAGAUGCAAUGCAGCGUGGAAGCAAAAUAUGGAAAGAGAACCUGUGAUCUUAAAUUUGACCGUGAUAGCUUUGUAACGAUGCGUCGAAACGGUUUUAUUGCACAAACUAGUCUAGACUGUAACAACAGGCUGUCAGAAACAAGUAUGGGAUCAUCUGAUAGCGGUUUGUCAAAGUCAACGCAGAGCAGUCGGCCACAGACUAACUCGAUUAAAUCAACUUUAGCUAGCUUUAAUUUCAACACAGCGAAUUUAACACGAACAUCUUUGGGUCAUUCGUCAACAACAAAGUCGAAAGGUAAAGACAAGAAUCCAAAGAGACGAUCGAGUAAAAAGCUGGAUCGAGAACAUCUAAGUCUUCCGGUGGCCAACUGUCAAUGGUACACAUCCUCCAACCUGGCAUCGAUAACGCCGACACCAAGCGAAAAAGAUACACUGGAUUCAAGUUCGGCACCGAUUGUGACCAACAACGUUCCAGUUUUCGAAUUAACGGAAGAAGUACUGUUGAUGAGGAGGUCAAUAUUUAAGCGCUAAUACCUUAUACGAAAAUAAAUUUUCAUGCUUCACAUUGAGAACAAAGAAAACGGAGAGCCGAUUGCAUAUUACUACUAUGACUAACCACACAGCGUCCCCUCCGAUCGGAGAUUGAACGCGAACGACGAUUAUCGCGGCCAGCUAGCAUGGCUACUCCUACUUCGAGCAUGAAAACUCUUGUAUCCGGUGAUACACACUCGUUAUCG
rnacentral:misc_RNA from 1 species